rnacentral:rRNA from 1 species
UACGAAGGGUGCAAGCGUUAAUCGGAAUUACUGGGCGUAAAGCGUGCGUAGGCGGUUUCUUAAGUCUGCUGUGAAAUCCCCGGGCUCAACCUGGGAAUGGCAGUGGAUACUGGGAAGCUAGAGUGUGAGAGAGGAUGGUGGAAUUCCCGGUGUAGCGGUGAAAUGCGUAGAGAUCGGGAGGAACAUCAGUGGCGAAGGCGGCCAUCUGGCUC